CUGUCUGGAAGAGAAAGGGUCAAGAGGACCCUGAAAGCAACUACACAGCGAAGGCUAUUGCAGCCCAGGAAACAGGAGGUACCUGCCUACUCCCAUCUGCACCCCUGGUAGGGACAUUUCAGAGCCCGGGAUGGGAGCCCCACACAGACAUUGUCUCAGCAGUGCCCACCCCACACUCAGGCUGGCCCUGCCCUCAGCAGGGCCUAAACAGCCACUCAGCCCCUCCUCAGCCACAGAGUCUAGCCUGUGCACCAUGGGUUCACAGCAUCAAGGAGGGGCCGAGCCCCCACAGACUCCGCCUGUGCAUCACG